rnacentral:rRNA from 1 species
CCUACGGGCGGCAGCAGUGAGGAAUAUUGGUCAAUGGACGAGAGUCUGAACCAGCCAAGUAGCGUGAAGGAAGACUGCCCUAUGGGUUGUAAACUUCUUUUAUAUGGGAAUAAAAUGUGCCACGUGUGGGAUUUUGUAUGUACCAUAUGAAUAAGGAUCGGCUAACUCCGUGCCAGCAGCCGCGGUAAUACGGAGGAGCCGAGCGUUAUCCGGAUUUAGUGGGUUGAAAGGGAGCGUAGGUGGCUUGUUAAGUCAGUGGUGAAAGUUUUCGGCUCCACCGUAAAAUUGCAGUUGAAACGGGCAGUCUUGAGUACAGUAGUGGUUGGCCGACUUCGUGGUGUCGCGG